UGCGCUUGGUCUGCGUAUGCGACUUGGUCCGGACGGCUGCGACUGGUUCCUCUUGGACGGUCAUGCGACUGGUCUCUUGACGGUCGUGCGACUGGUCCUCUUGCGCUAUGCGAUUGGUCCUCGUGACGUCAUGCGACUGGUCCUCUUGACGCCAUGCGACUGGUCUCGUGGACGGCAUGUGGUCGCGAUUGGUCCUCUUGACGCGCGACUGGUCCUCUUGACGCGCGCGACUGGUCCUCUUGGCGUCAUGCGACUGGUCCUCUUGGCGUCAUCGACUGGUCCUCGUGACGUCAUGCGACUGGUCCUCGUGACGGUCAUGCGACUGGUCCUCGUGACGUCAUGCGACUGGUCCUCUUGGCGUCUGCGACUGGUCCUCGUGGACGCUGCGACUGGUCCUCUUGGCGUCAUGCGACUGGUCUCGUGGCGGUCAUGCGACUGGUCUCGUGGACGGUCAUGCGACUGGUCCUCUUGGCGUCAUCGACUGGUCCUCGUGACGGUCAUGCGACUGGUCCUCUUGGACGCAUGCGACUG
rnacentral:lncRNA from 1 species